UACGAGGGGAGCCAGCGUUGUUCGGAAUUACUGGGCGUAAAGCGUGCGUAGGCGGCGAUUCAAGUCAGAGGUGAAAGCCUGGAGCUCAACUCCAGAACUGCCUUUGAAACUAGAUCGCUAGAAUCUUGGAGAGGUGAGUGGAAUUCCGAGUGUAGAGGUGAAAUUCGUAGAUAUUCGGAAGAACACCAGUGGCGAAGGCGACUCACUGGACAAGUAUUGACGCUGAGGUACGAAAGCGUGGGGAGCAAACAGG
rnacentral:rRNA from 1 species